UCCCGGACCGUGUUUGUCUGUGCCUCAGCCCCUACUAUGCUGUGAGUAGAGUGAACGUACGGUCCUGUGUCUGCAUACCUGUUUGUCCUCCAUAUCUUCCCAGGCCACCCCUCAUCCCCACCCCAAGGUGAGGCUGUAAAGAGGAGAGAAAAACCACCGUGCCUUUAGGGGAACUGAAACGCAGCCGCGUCUGCUCUUAGGAGCACGUAAUGGGUUACAGCACGGCUUCCUCAGUGCCUGGUGGGUAACUUAGGAGAAGCUGAAAGGGAUGUCUCCGUUGGGUGCAUGACUAAGAGUCCAGCUCUUCCUGUGAGUUAGCCCAGCAUUCGCGUCUGCGUUAACUACCUCAAGUGAGGAACUUCACAGCGUUCAGUGAGGCAUAACUCAGACACGCUGGAGUCAGCUCGGCAGGUGAGCCCAGCAGGUGUGGCAGAUGUGUUCUCCAGAUCCAUGCUCUUCUCCGAGGGAGACAUAGCUGUCCCAUUUGUUAUUUUAAAUGAAAAGCCAUUUAGAAAAGAAAAUGUCUUAUUUACAUGCCUAGAUUAUGUGUCUUCACCUCUUAUUUAGGCAUUCCUGUAGUCAGCCUGCAAAACAUGACUCCAUAACCCUUAGUUUAUGGAGGAAAGAUAAACAAAUUCCCUGGAUGUGUUCUGUAAUAUUCUUUCAGAGAUUAUUUACUAAGCAACUUACAUGUGCCAGAUCUCUGAUAGGGACUGUGAUUUGAAAAUAAGAAAUAUAACCGCUAAUCUCAAGGAGCUCAGAGUCUGGUGUGUUUGUGUAUGUGUAUGUAAAACAGAAACAAACAAAUAAAAAUCAU